rnacentral:rRNA from 1 species
GAACGAGAAAGUUCCUUCGGGAGCAAUUAAAGUGGCGCACGGGUGAGUAACGCGUAGACAAUCUGCCCUUCAGUCUGGGACAACUUUUCGAAAGGAGAGCUAAUACCGGAUAACAAUGCAUGACACAAGUUGUAUAUUUGAAAGCUUUAUGUGCUGAAGGAGGGGUCUGCGUCCCAUUAGCUAGUUGGUAAGGUAAAGGCUUACCAAGGCAACGAUGGGUAGCGGGUUUGAGAGGACGAUCCGCCACACUGGAACUGAGACACGGUCCAGACUCCUACGGGAGGCAGCAGUGGGGAAUAUUGCACAAUGGAGGCAACUCUGAUGCAGCAAUGUCGCGUGAGUGAAGAAGGCCCUUGGGUCGUAAAGCUCUUUUAUGGGGGAAGAUGAUGACGGUACCCCAAGAAUAAGCACCGGCUAACUAUGUGCCAGCAGCCGCGGUAAUACAUAGGGUGCGAGCGUUGUUCGGAAUUACUGGGCGUAAAGGGCGCGCAGGCGGAAUAGUAAGUCGGAGGUGAAAGCCCGGGGCUCAACCCCGGAGGGUCUUUCGAAACUACUAAUCUAGAGAGGGUCAGGGGCCGGCAGAAUUCCUGGUGUAGAGGUGAAAUUCGUAGAUAUCAGGAGGAAUACCGGUGGCGAAGGCGGCCGGCUGGGGCCACUCUGACGCUGAGGCGCGAAAGCGUGGGGAGCAAACAGGAUUAGAUACCCUGGUAGUCCACGCCGUAAACGAUGAGCACUGGACGUCCGGAGGGUUCGACCCUUCUGGGUGUCUCAGCUAACGCAUUAAGUGCUCCGCCUGGGGAGUACGGUCGCAAGACUAAAACUCAAAGGAAUUGACGGAGGCCCGCACAAGCGGUGGAACAUGUGGUCUAAUUCGAUGCAACGCGAAGAACUUACCUGGUCUUGACAUCUCGGACGCUCAGAGAUGAGUUUCUCUCGAGCGAGUGACAGUGCUGCAUGCUGUCGUCAGCUCGUGUCGUGAGAUGUGGGUAGUCCCGCACCGAGCGCACCCCUACCCUAUGCAUCGGUAUGCGGCACUUUAGGGGACUGCGGUGACAGCCGAGAGUGAUGACGUCAAGUCCUCAUGGCCUUAUGACAGCGACUCACCACUGGUUUCAAUGGGAGUUACGAGGGAAGCUAGUCGCAGCCAUGGCAAUCCCCAAAACUUCUAUUCGGAUCCGACUGCACUGCAUUCGUUGAACUGGAAAUCCUAUUAUCGGGAAUAGAAACG